rnacentral:piRNA from 1 species
CCCUUUUACUAUUCAACGACUGUGUG